UACGGAGGGUGCAAACGUUGCUCGGAAUCAUUGGGCGUAAAGCGCACGUAGGCGGUCCAGCAAGUCGGGUGUGAAAGCCCUCGGCUUAACCGAGGAAGUGCAUUCGAAACUACUGGACUUGAAUACUGGAGAGGAUCGCGGAAUUCCCGGUGUAGAGGUGAAAUUCGUAGAUAUCGGGAGGAACACCAGUGGCGAAGGCGGCGAUCUGGACAGAUAUUGACGCUGAGGCGCGAAAGCGUGGGGAGCAAACAGG
rnacentral:rRNA from 1 species